rnacentral:lncRNA from 1 species
AUGGCUUACCAGGGCCAACAGACAAACAAAAGAACACAAAAUUAAACAAAUAAACUAGACAUUAAUGCAACCGUAUAUGGUCGAAACAAGGUAGGAAUGCAAAUGUAUGAAUAAAGAUAUCAAAAAAACGAAAAAUUACAAAAAAUACUGAACUCCGAUGAAAAUUCAAAACGGGUAGUCUCUAUUCAAGUGGCAAAAUCUAAACCCCACACACAUCAAACAGAUAACAGCUAACUAAACCGCACACGUGUAUGACGGUUGCAUUAAAUUCCAUUAUAUUUUUACAACGAUGUGUGAACAAAACAGACAAAAUAUGUCAAAAUUCACAAAUAAGGCUACAGCAGUCAACAUUGUGUUAUAAUCUUAAUCACUAAAAAAACCC